UAACUGAAUCACUUUGAUGUACACCUGAAACUAACAUGACAUUGUAAAUCAACUAUACUUUGUAUUUUUUAAAAAAAGAUAAUAUAUAUUAAAAACGUAUCUUCUAAAUUAUCUGAAUGUAUGUUACUAUUAUCUAUGCUCUUGAGGUGCUUUUGUGUAUUGUGUCUAAAUGGUAGAAAUACUCUAUGAUGUGUUACUGCACAUCUAUUCCCAAUACCACAUUCAGUGACUUGACUUUGUGAGCUUGAAACUGGCUGUGGAGGGAGUAUUUACACGAUGGAAAUCAGCAAAUGCCACAGAUCAAGGCUUGACUUAUUGCUUUGCUGAUGGUCUAGACUUAAGAAAGUGACAGAGGAACCGUUAAUAAUGCAAAUUAAACAUAAAAAGCAUGUUGCGUCUAUAGCUGUUACAUGGUGAAUGGCGCAAAAACAUUCAUCUCAGCAAAGAAGUCACUCACAUAAUAAGCAAGUAAGUUCCCAUAUACAUCUUUGUUGUGUCACUUUUAUCUUAGAUGAAAAUAUUAAUCAACACGCCAUGUCAGAACUACAUUUGGAGAGCUGGUUGUUAAACAUUUACCAGCACACCACUGGAUCCGCUGUACUAUGCCAACUGGGCCACUUAUAGGUUCUGUGAACUUAAGCAUGUCACUUAUACUAUUAGCCUUGCUUUCAUUCUUCACGAAACACUACCUCUCAGGAUGUAUUGUGAUAUUUACAAUAGAUGAGGCACUCUUGACCUGCACAUCCUUCUUUCUUCUCACUGGCAGACCCUUCACUCACUAGAGUUUGUAUACAGAUACAUGGUUUCUCAGUCUCCCUUGUAGCCUAGAGCAGCGUCCCAGCCUAUAUGCCAGUGCGCACUGCUAUAUCUCAGAUAGGUUACAGAUGUGACAAGGUAUUGGUCCCUUAAGCCCUUGGAAUAUUUGAGUGAGGCUCAGCUGCUGAAACCUGAGAUGGUCCCAUCUGCCCAAAGCAGCCCCACCCAGGCACUCCUUGUGUCAUUAAAACAUUAUUUUUUAAUUUGUGUUAUGCUGUGAAAAAGUUGAGUAGCAGUGGCUUGAGGCAUGGAUGUGUAAUACAAUUCUGACCAAUGGAACCUGAGGAAAAGUUUUGGGGGGAUGGAUCUCAGAAUGAUUUUCCUCCCGAAUAAAAAGAGUCACAUGAGAGAAAGUACCCUUACAUAUGUUGUUAUGUCUGUAGGUGCACCUGGCACUUCUGGACCAUCUUGCAAAAAACCAACGUAACAGAGAAGAAGGCGAAUGAUGGCAAAAGUCUGGAUGCUGCACAUUGUUGAGCCACUGAGCCACCCGAGCAAAGCAGACUAGGCCUUCUUGAGAUGACUUUCUUUCUCCUUGAGGCCCUUUCCACUACAUUUUCUUAUCCAGGAAAACAGAACAAUCCUACAAUGGUGUUCCAACUGAAGAUGUCUUGUUCUUUGGCUUGGUGAGGCCUGUGGGAACUUCUGCAUGACCUAUGACAAGGACCUUCUGCUGGAGUGUUCUGCCGCCCCGACCAAUGUUGACCUUUUUCGUGUGAGUUUCUCCUUCACGCCUCCUGCACCAAAGGCAACUGUUUGGUUCCGAACCUAAACUCUAGAUU